UACUUGUUUUAAGAAUGCAAAAGCAUUUUUUUUUUUUUUUAAAGUUGCAAACUGGAAUACGUGAACUAAUUUAAGAUUUAAUUAAAAUUCUUCGAUGAUCGAUAACGGUUUUAAUUCAAAGUCUUUAAAUGAAUAUCAACUUUAGGAACCAAUUUUUUUAUUCAAUUCGAAACCCAUGACCUGCGUUAAACUUCAGAGUUUGUCGUAUGGAGUACAAAUACGCUCAUAUAUUGAAGAACAGGUUUUGAUGAUGUUGAAAGAAGAAGCAGCUAUCAGAAUACCAUCACGAAGUCAAAGAGGUGUACUGUUCCAUUGUUUACACUGUACCUUGACCUUUAAGAUUGAGAAAAGUGUCCUUGUCUUCUUGUUUAUAAAUAAACUCGUCAACUUCCUGUGCAGUGAACGUGAUCGCUCAAACUGCUUUCGAACCUAGUCGCUUCCGACUUCAGAUUGUCAAUAGCAGUUUAAAACCAUGCUCAUUCAACCAACGCUGUUGUUAUCGGAAGAUUUUAUUGUAUUUACAAAACGAGUGCUAAAAAAAAUUUGAACCGAAAUUGCCAUCAAAAAAUGAUUUGUUACCAUUUCGGCAGAUGGCGCUACUUUCAUGGCGAUAUGUUUAAAUUAAUUUCG
rnacentral:lncRNA from 1 species